GACGUAGGGCGCGAGCGUUGUCCGGAUUUAUUGGGCGUAAAGAGCUCGUAGGCGGCUUGUUGCGUCGUCCGUGAAAACCUGUGGCUCAACUACAGGCUUGCGGUCAUACGGGCGGGCUGGAGUUCGGUAGGGGAGACUGGAAUUCCUGGUGUAGCGGUGAAAUGCGCAGAUAUCAGGAGGGAACACCCGUGUGAAGGCGG
rnacentral:rRNA from 1 species